GCGCGAAAACUUUACAAUGCUGGCAACAGCGAUAAGGGAACCUCGAGUGCCAGGUUACAAAUCUGGCUGUCGAGAUGCCUAAAAAGCAUUUCAUAGCAAGGGCCGGGCAAGACCGGUGCCAGCCGCCGCGGUAACACCGGCGGCUCGAGUGGUAACCGUUAUUAUUGGGUCUAAAGGGUCUGUAGCCGGCCGGAUAAGUCUCUUGAGAAAUCUGGCAGCUUAACUGUCAGGCUUUCAGGAGAUACUGUCUGGCUCGAGGCCGGGAGAGGUGAGAGGUACUUCAGGGGUAGGGGUGAAAUCUUGUAAUCCUUGAAGGACCACCAGUGGCGAAUGCGUCUGACCAGAACGGACCUGACGGCGAGGGACGAAAGGUAGGUGCACGAACC
rnacentral:rRNA from 1 species